rfam:Salmo salar isolate Sally breed double haploid chromosome ssa10, whole genome shotgun sequence.
CUUAAUUGCUAUUGUAAGUUGCUCUGGAUAAGAGCGUCUGCUAAAUGGCUAAAA